rnacentral:lncRNA from 1 species
UGGAAGCGGGUGGCCUGGCAGCCUUUGGCAAGUAUCAGACAUGGCAAGGAGCCCAGAUCACCUGUCAGCAGCUCAGCCACGAGCAGGAAAGCACUUGCUGUGUUAAGAAGUCACGUUUGGGCUGACCUAUGAACUGUGAUCCUUGUUGUAGGUGCUUGGAAGUCCUUUCAGAACCAUGAGAACAGCAGCCAACUGCAGAGAGAAACAGGCUCACCCGUCCAAACACACGACCAGCUUUGCUGCGGAUCAGUUCCAGGCUAUCAGGGUUCUUCUUCUGAGGCAACAGGCUGCUGCCAGUGCUGGAAGAAAGGAAUUGGGAGUGUAACGGUGAGCAAGACCCCAGCCUGUGCAGAUGAAGGCUAAGACAUGCAGCACGCUGGCCCAGCCCUGCAAAAGUGAUUUGUAGCCC